GCAAAAUCAGGCUCCCAGAUAGGCUGAGGGGAAACGCAGGGAUCAGCCGUUUCCGCGAGCCAGGCCCGCGCCUGCACCCGCACGUGCAGAGUCGCGAGCUAGUCUUCUCUUCCGGUCGUCUCAGCUCGCAUUUUCCCCCGUUUCCCUGCCGCUCUCUUCUCUGGUGCCACGCCGCAUUUCCUCGUUGGUGCCAAGGCAAAGCUCUCCUUCUCCCUUUCCUCUCCCUUUUUUCACGAGCUCUGGCCCCUCUCUCCCGUUCCCAACUAUUGGCGACUUGCUCGCCGUCGCUCGCGGCCGCCCGCCCGAUCUGGCCGUGAUAGCAAGCAGGGGACUUCGGCGGCACGUAUACUACCUGCGCGCGCGCACCGGCCGGGCGUUCGCGGCCGCCCGUACGAUCCCGCGUGUGAGCAAGCACGGAACACGCGCCCUUGUUGACAGGGAAGGCCUUGCCGCGGUGUGAGCAAGCAGGGAUUAUGAUUUUUUAUGUGUGUUUGAUUCAGAAUGUUCUUUUACUUCAGUAAGCAAAGAUAUCUAAGUUGAAGUACAAGUCACCAAAACAAUCUUUUAAUUAUUUUACAUACAUGUACAAACACCUAGAAUCAAAUUCCACAUUUAUCAUAUUGUUCAACCUCAUGCAUCCUACCAAACAACAUCUGAAAUGAGCCUGCUCCAUAUCAUGCAAGUACAGCAAGCACACAUCUCAACUUCUUCUUGCAUCAGCUCAACCAAGCCAGCCCAGCCAAGCUCCUUCAUGCAAUGCAAGUUGGAUGCGCCCAGGGAACCAAACACACUCAAAAAAGUUGCAUCGGUUCUACUAGCACCACUACAAUGCCCAUGCUUUGCCACGGGCAUUUAAAAUAUUUUACUGAAUUAUUUUAAAAUAUUUUACUGAAUUAUUAAGGACAGUAUAAUCGCAUCUAAUCCCUGCCCUCACAACGAUUUGCGUUUUAGGCCGUUUGUUUUUGUCGAUUUGAUCGUUUCUGGCCGUUAGAUAUGAUGUCCUUAGGGGCUGCUGCUCCGCGGGAAAAAACCGUGCCCUGUAAACUGGGUCGAACAGCCCUUUUAUCUAACAUAGAACACACAGCCCAGUAGGGUCCUCGUUGCGCUCCUCCUUCGGAAAGGAAAACUCUUCGACUCAAAGAGGAACGGAUUGGGGUUGCGGCCGACGCGCCGUCUCGUCUUCUAAUGGAUCCAGCUGAGGCGCGAGAUCAUUUCCUUCCCUCUACGCCGGCAAGGCAGGCACGGAGACAGCAAAGGGGUUGGUGAGGAUGGGGAGAUUCGCAUCUCAUCUCUUUCUUCGACCCCCUCCUCACCCCCUCGCGCUCCUUUGGCGGCGAACAUGGCACACCAUGGCAGCCUAUUUUCUACUCAUGCUCCUUGUCGUCGCGGUGGUCGGCAAGGCACACGAAACGAUUGAGUAUGCUGCCCAACUGCUGCCACGGCACCUACCCGUCGUCGAGCUGCUGACGACGAAGAUCGACAACCCAGGCAGACGCCGACCAUGUGCUCCUCCGCCAAGCACUACCCUUGGCCUCACCGUCGAGUGAAGGUUCCCACCCCACCACGAGCUCGACCCCUCCCAGCAGGCAAAAUUGGUUCCAGGUACUCUGCGCAGAUCUGAAAUAGCUCGUGAGGCUACUGAUAUGUACCAUGUUGGUGUGUAUUUCACUAUUUCAUGC